rnacentral:tRNA from 1 species
AAAAAAUUAGUUAAGCAAUAACAUUAGUGUGUCAAACUAAAAUCAUUGGCCCCGCCAAUAUUUUUUG